AAGUAGUGAUGACUGCCGCGCUUCCAGUGAAGAUAGGGUUCUUCACGAUCGUCUGAUUCAAGACGAUGCAACAGCGCUUCUGAACUU